rnacentral:rRNA from 1 species
AAUAUUGGACAAUGGGGGCAACCCUGAUCCAGCCAUGCCGCGUGUGUGAAGAAGGUCUNCGGAUUNUNAAGCACUUUAAGUUGGGNGGAAGGGCUUUAGGUUAAUACCCUGAAGUUUUAACGUGACAAACAGAAUAAGCACCGGCUAACUCUGUACCAGCAGCCGCGGUAAUACAGAGGGUGCAAGCGUUAAUCGGAAUUACUAGGCGUAAAGCGCGCGUAGGUGGUUCAGUAAGAUGGGUGUGAAAUCACCGGGCUUAACCUGGGAACUGCUUUCAUAACUGCAGAGCUAGAGUACAGUAGAGGGUAGUGGAAUUUCCUGUGUAGCGGUGAAAUGCGUAGAUAUAGGAAGGAACAUCAGUGGCGAAGGCGACUACCUGGACUGAUACUGACACUGAGGUGCGAAAGCGUGGGGAGCAAACA